rnacentral:rRNA from 1 species
CCUACGGGUGGCAGCAGUGAGGAAUAUUGGUCAAUGGACGGAAGUCUGAACCAGCCAUGCCGCGUGCAGGAAGACGGCUCUAUGAGUUGUAAACUGCUUUUGUACAAGGGUAAACCUGAAUACGUGUAUUCAGCUGAAAGUACUGUAAGAAUAAGGAUCGGCUAACUCAGUGCCAGCAGCCGCGGUAAUACGGAGGAUCCAAGCGUUAUCCGGAUUUAUUGGGUUUAAAGGGUGCGUAGGCGGAUGGAUAAGUUAGAGGUGAAAUGUCCGAGCUUAACUCGGGAACUGCCUCUAAUACUGUUGAGCUAGAGAGUAGAUGCGGUAGGCGGAAUGUAUGGUGUAGCGGUGAAAUGCUUAGAGAUGAGACAGAACACCGAUGGCGAAGGCAGCUUAUCAAUCUAUAUCUGACGUUGAGGCACGAAAGCGUGGGGAGCAAACAGGAUUAGAUACCAUAGUAGUC